rnacentral:rRNA from 1 species
GAGGGGUGCAAACGUUAUUCGGAUUUACUGGGUGUAAAGGGUGUGUAGACGGCUUAUCAAGUUUGUUGUUAAAUCUUCCGGGCUUAACCGGGAAGCUUGCGAUGAAAACUGGUAGGCUUGAGGAUGAAAGAGAGAGGCGGAAUUCUCGGAGUAGCGGUAAAAUGCGUAGAUCUCGAGAGGAACACCGAUGGCGAAAGCAGCCUCUUGGUUCAUUCCUGACGUUGAUACACGAAAGCGUGGGGAGCAAACAGGAUUAGAUACCCUGGUAGUCCACGCCGUAAACGAUGAUCACUGGAUGUCAGCUUUGCUUUGCAAGGUUGGUAUCGAAGCUAACGCGUUAAGUGAUCCACCUGGGAACUACGAUCGCAAGAUUA